GACGAACGCUGGCGGCGUGCUUAACACAUGCAAGUCGAACGGAAAGGCCCUGCUUUUGUGGGGUGCUCGAGUGGCGAACGGGUGAGUAACACGUGAGUAACCUGCCCUUGACUUUGGGAUAACUUCAGGAAACUGGGGCUAAUACCGGAUAGGAGCUCCUGCUGCUUGGUGGGGGUUGGAAAGUUUCGGCGGUUGGGGAUGGACUCGCGGCUUAUCAGCUUGUUGGUGGGGUAGUGGCUUACCAAGGUUUUGACGGGUAGCCGGCCUGAGAGGGUGCCCGGCCACAUGGUGUUUAGGCUACGGCCCGGGCUCAUUCGGGAGCAGGAAGGGGGGAUUGUAACACAAGGGCGGAAGCCUGUUGCAGCAACGCCGCGUGCGGGAUGACGGCCUUCGGGUUGUAAACCGCUUUCGCCUGUGACGAAGCGUGAGUGACGGUAAUGGGUAAAGAAGCACCGGCUAACUACGUG
rnacentral:rRNA from 1 species